GUCGUAACAAGGUUUCCGUAGGUGAACCUGCGGAAGGAUCAUUAUCGAAUUUGAUUGAGGUUGCAGCUGGCCUUUCGGGGCAUGUGCUCGCCUUUCUCAUCCACACACCACCGUGCACCUUCUGUGGCGUGGCGAUCGCUUCACGGCGUCGCCUGCUGCGUCUAUACAAACACUAUACAAGUCUAGAAUGUCUAAUUGCGAUAAAAAGCAUCUAAUACAACUUUCAACAACGGAUCUCUUGGCUCUCGCAUCGAUGAAGAACGCAGCGAAAUGCGAUAAGUAAUGUGAAUUGCAGAAUUCAGUGAAUCAUCGAAUCUUUGAACGCACCUUGCGCUCCUUGGUAUUCCGAGGAGCAUGCCUGUUUGAGUGUCAUGAAUCUCUCAAUACAUCAGUUUGCGAAAGCGGCUGUUGGAUUGGACUUGGAGGCUGCCGGCGCAAGUCGGCUCCUCUCUAAAUGCAUUAGCUGGAUCUGAAGGUCGGCGAUCCUCAGUGUGAUAAUUAUCUACGCUGUUGUAUUCCACCUACGCUUGGUGCUACCGUCCGCAAGGAUGAGUGGUCCAGUGAAGAUCACGCUUCUAACCGUCUGUAAUGGACAAUCUCUUGACAUCUGACCUCAGAUCAGGUAGGACUA
rnacentral:rRNA from 1 species